rnacentral:rRNA from 1 species
AUUGAACGCUGGCGGCAGGCCUAACACAUGCAAGUCGAACGAGUGGCGGACGGGUGAGUAAUGUCUGGGAAACUGCCUGAUGGAGGGGGAUAACUACUGGAAACGGUAGCUAAUACCGCAUACCAUCAGAUGUGCCCAGAUGGGAUUAGCUAGUUGGUGGGGUAACGGCUCACCAAGGCGACGAUCCCUAGCUGGUCUGAGAGGAUGACCAGCCAAACUGGAACUGAGACACGGCGCGGACCCCUAGGGAAGGCAGAAGGGGGGAAUAUGGCACAAUGGGGGCAAGCCUGAUGCAGCCAUGCCGGGGGUAUGAAGAAGGCCUUCGGGUUGUAAAGUACUUUCAGCGGGGAGGCUUUACCCGCAGAAGAAGCACCGGCUAACUCCGUGCCAGCAGCCGGGGUAAUA